GGGGUUGUAGUUCAGUGGUAGAGUGUUCACCUUGCAUGUGGAAGGCACUGGGUUUGAUCCUCAGAACCACA
rnacentral:tRNA from 1 species